GACGAACGCUGGCGGCGUGCUUAACACAUGCAAGUCGAACGAAGUGGCGAACGGGUGAGUAACGCGUAGUCAAACUGCUCUUCAGAGGGGGACAACAGUUGGAAACGACGGCUAAUACCGAAUACUGAAGGAGGGGAUUGCGGCUGAUUAGCUAGUGGGAGGGGUAACGGGCGACCAAGGCGAUGAGGAGUAGCCGGGCGGGGAGGAGGAACGGCCAAAACGGGACUGGAACACUGCCCAGAGUUCUACGGGAGGCAGCAGUGGGGAAUCGUCCGCAAUGGACGGAAGUCUGACGGAGCAACGCCGCGGGGGUGAUGACGGCCUUCGGGUUGUAAAGCUCUUUUAAGCGGGACGCGGUACCGGAAUAGAAAGCCACGGCUAACUACGUGCCAGCAGCCGCGGUAAUUC
rnacentral:rRNA from 1 species